rnacentral:piRNA from 1 species
UGGUCAUUGACAAUGGCUCCGGCAUGUGC